UACGUAGGGUGCGAGCGUUGUCCGGAAUUAUUGGGCGUAAAGAGCUUGUAGGCGGUUUGUCGCGUCUGCUGUGAAAGCCCGGGGCUCAACCCCGGGAGGCGGGCGGAUACUGUCGGGCUAGAGUCCGGAAGAGGCGAGUGGAAUUCCUGGUGUAGCGGUGAAAUGCGCAGAUAUCAGGAGGAACACCAAUGGCGAAGGCAGCUCGCUGGGACGGUACUGACGCUGAGACGCGAAAGCGUGGGGGAGCAAACAGG
rnacentral:rRNA from 1 species